CAGAGGUAUCGUAGUUGUUCGCGAACUUUCGGUUCACGGUUGCUUUUGCUUUCUUGCUCGUUUCUGCUCGCGUUGAAAUCGACUGCAGCAGUAGGGGCAUUUGUUAAGAGCAGCAGCAACGUCAAAAGGCCAGCAUGCUGGUGGUGUGGAAAUGCUGCCUUUCGCCAGCAGCUGCGAGAGCAUCUGCAAAGGCUUUCGCAGCCGGACCAGCGCCUUCGCGAUGGCCGAUGAUGACCCAGAAGACUAUGAACAUGUCAACACGAACACGGUCGGCCCGCUUUCAGGCGGCCACAGUCAAGCGCCGUACCCUUCGCGAAAUAAUCAUGGCCCCAGCUGGUGAUUCAGCAUUCAAUGUGGGGAAAGGUGUUCUGGCAGGAGCAUCGGCCUUUGGGCUGGGAGCCCUGUGCUACUAUGGACUCGGCAUGUCAAGUGAAGCUGGAGCCUUUGAGAAAUCCAUG